rnacentral:rRNA from 1 species
CCUACGGGUGGCAGCAGUGAGGAAUAUUGGUCAAUGGGCGCAAGCCUGAACCAGCCAAGUCGCGUGAGGGAUGACGGUCCUAUGGAUUGUAAACCUCUUUUGUCGGGGAGUAAGGCCCGCCACGUGUGGCGGGCCGGAGAGUACCCGAAGAAAAAGCAUCGGCUAACUCCGUGCCAGCAGCCGCGGUAAUACGGAGGAUGCGAGCGUUAUCCGGAUUUAUUGGGUUUAAAGGGUGCGUAGGCGGAAGGUUAAGUCAGCGGUCAAAUGUCGGUGCUCAACACCGGCCUGCCGUUGAAACUGGUCGUCUUGAGUGAGCGAGAAGUAUGCGGAAUGCGGGGUGUAGCGGUGAAAUGCAUAGAUAUCACGCAGAACUCCGAUUGCGAAGGCAGCAUACCGGCGCUCAACUGACGCUGAGGCACGAAAGCGUGGGGAUCGAACAGGAUUAGAUACCCUUGUAGUC